rnacentral:tRNA from 1 species
GAGAAAGUCAUAAUGGCUAUGGGGUUGACUUGAAAUCAAUUUUUUGGGGGUUCGAUUCCUUCCUUUCUCG